CUCCCUUCCUGCCUGGGAAGGGAAGUCCGUCCGCAGUCGGAGGGAUCCGUUUGUCCGGGUUUUCCCGACUGCCGCGGGUCCCGUUUAGAAAAGCAAUGGGAGUUCCUGGGAGGAGCGGGAGUGUAACUCCUGGAAGCAGCACUUGAGGAGCCGCGUGGCAGCGGAUUCCUCGGGAGGGCCGGCGUGGCGAAGGAGUAUACAGUGGAGUUGCCGGUUGAUCAAUGCAUCAUGUUACAAAAAUCAUGCAUGGAUUGUAUUAUGGAGAACUAAUUCUGUCAAUUACUAGGCAUCAUCAUUUGCCUUGCCAUGUCUUGCUGAAUCUGCUUUCUACAUCGUGGUAAGAGUGUUGCUCUCUGUAGUAUCCUCAAUCAAACCUGCUCCACCAGCCACCAGAUGAUUAGAACAUCUGUUCAACAUCUUCCUGAUUUGUUAUUCAUCUCAGAAGACCCCAUCCAGGAUGCCCCGUUACAUUGAGCCGUCAUGUCUCCUUAGGCUCUUCUUGGCUGUGAUGGUUUUUUGACUUUCCUUGUUUUCCAUAACCUUGACAGUUUUGAGGAGUACUGGUCAGGAAGUCUGCAGGAUAUCCCUUUAUUGGAACUUGCCUGAUGUUCUUCUCAUGAUAAGACUGAGGUUAUAGAUAGUUGGGGAAAAUACCCACAAAAGUAAAAUGCCAUUUUCAUCACACAGUAUCAAGUAUACAUACUAUCAGCCUGACUCAUCAGCCUCACGUUGACCCUGAUCACCUGGUUGAGGUCGUGUCAGUCAGGUUUCUCCACUGGAAAAUUACCCGCUACCCCCUUCAUACCGUCCUCUCUGGAAGGAAGUCACUACGGGCAGCCCACGCUUGAGCAGGGAGUUAUGUUCCACCUGUUUGAGGAUGUGAGUGAUGUCAGCUACGUGGUGGAAAAGUCUUCUACCAUCUUCCCCAGAAGGAACACCAAUUUUGACAGUUGCCCACGGAUGAGAGUGCUUUGGGGGAGGUCCAGGAGUUUAGCAGAGAGGCUCCAGCACAUCACUGAAGAAAAAAAAUCAGGAGUGGACACAUGAAGAUGUGGAAAUCCCAUCCAUCCCUCAAGGUCCAGGAAAAAGGCCUUUUCCUCUGUGAAAUUUCCCCUCAUCCAUCUGAAUCUCCACAACACUUGGGGACCCGCUCUUCUGUCAAGUACUUCGUUACUUAUGUUCAUUGUUUCCUAUGCCUAGACGAGGGACACCAACGUGAAGAAAUGAUGUUUCUCUCAACGGUUGUUGAAAAAGAAAGUAUACUAUGUGGUUAUCUCAUGAUAACCUCAUGAGCCUGGCCUGACAUCUCAGCUGUCCUUUGACCCCUGCAGCCAUUGCAACAGAAACCACCUGGCUGCCCGCAGGUGAGAACUGGCAGCCCCCUGCUGCAGCUCCUUCCGGCGCUUCUCCUUUUCUGCCCUGAAAAUGUCUCCUUGGCACUCAGGUUUCUGGGAAGGUGUUGUUUGAUGCGAUGAACAUUUAAAUCAGUGGACUUCGAGUAAAGCAUCCAAUCAGCUGAAGGUUUUAAGGGAAAAAGACGGACUCUCCUCCCUGCAAGAAGGAAUUCUGCCCGCUGGUGGUCCUGUAGAUUUAUACCACGACUCUUCCCGAGUCUCCAGCCUGCCAGCCUAUGGCACCAGCUUUCAGAUUUGCUAAGUCUCCACAAUCACGACUGCCUGCCUAGUGACCCACCACUUGCCAUCUGGCGGAAGAUUCUGGCUGCGGAGCGAUGAAGAUGGUGGGCUGCAGACUCAUGUAUUGGGAACUCCAUCUUCGACUAAUGAUCAAUGUAAUUGAGUUCCUUUUCUGAAGUGAAUAAGCAGACACACUCAUCAAAGAACAAGAGAUGACACAGACACAGGAGAAGGCCGUGUGAAGACAGAGGUGGAGAACUGGAGUGAUGUGUUUAUGAACCAAAGACUGCCCGAGGAUUGCUGGCAGCCCCAGAAGCAAAGAGAAAGGCGUGGGACAGAUUCUCUCCUAGACCCUUCUGAGGGAGCAUCACCCUGCCUGGCUCCUUGGACUGCAGACUUCUGGCCUGCAGAACUGUGAAAGAAUUCACUUCUGUUGUUUGAAGCCCCCCAGUGCUUGUUGCAGUCGUGCAUGUUGUAGCAGCCCUAGGAAACAAGUAUAGUUGGGUUUCCUCAAAUCAGGCUGGUGUGGGAGGGAGUCGUUAAGGAAAUGCUCCCCUGAGACCAUUAACGGAGGGGUGAGGAGAGCAGACCCGGGAGAGGACGCAGAGCGCUUGGCUCAGUUCCACAGGCAGUGAUAUCACCUGGCCCCUGGGGGACUCUGGGUUGUAAACGAUGCCCGCGGGUGAGCUCACCCUAGACAAGGGGGCCAGAGUUCCUGUACCAGCACCCUACCAGUCACAGGUUACAGACCACCCCCAAGGGACUUCACCUGCAGGCAAGUGGGAUCCAGGAGCUACAAGGGAGUUCUCCAUAAAAGCCCAGCCCAUGUUGCUUGUUGAAAUCAAAAGCACCCCCAAAGAGGGGAAGAAAAAAAAUGGUGAACAGGAAUUCCAAGGGAUCCAGGAAGAGCAACAGCAUCAUCCAACCUGUCGAAUUAUCUGCCCGUGGUAUCUGGAGUCCAGGAGGCCGGGUGCUGAUGUCCGCUCCUGCUAUCCACUUGGGUAACUUUGGGGCAUACAUUUGCAUCUUGGAUCUUAGUCGACGUCACUGUUAAAGGGGGAUAAUGUUAAUGCUUUUACAUUUGUUUUUUCAUAAAAUGUUUGCUCUUUGGGGUUGAUAUUCAGAUGGUAUAACUAUAUAUUGUUUGCUAAAACAUAAAUGGUUCUGUAUUGGGGGAUAAAUAGCCACUCCCCUUACUGCUUUGGUCCCCUCCCUCAAACCCCUUGCAUUUCCCUACAACCCAGCAAUGAAAAUGCUGGGCACAGCUGGGCAUCUCCCUAACAUUAGGGCCCGUGUUGUUUCCAAUUAGUUGGCUGUUAAAGAUUUUGACUGUCAUCCCCAGAUCAAGCAUGUGCUAUGUGUCUAAUCCAGUGAUCACAACUGUGAGGGACAGAAAAGAAUUAGACCAUCUCUGCCUUCAAAAAGUUUAAACUUGGGGUGCCUGCCUGGCUCAGUUGGGAGAGCACGCGACUGUUGAUCUUAGCGAUUGCUUAAAAAUAAAAUCUUAAAAAAAAAAAAAGGUUACACUUUAACUGAGGUGGGGACAAACACAGUUUAAAUAAUUAGGAAUAAUCAUGCGCUAAACUCUGUGUCUUAGUCCAUGUGGGCUGCUGUAACAAAAAUACAAUUGACUGGGUGGCUUAAACAAUUAUUUCUCAUAAUUCUAGAGACUGGAAAGUUCAAGGUCAAGACCUCAGCAGACCCAGAGACUGGUGAGAACCCUCUUCCAGGUUAAUAGAAGGCUGUUUUCUCACUGUGUCCCCGCACGGCAGAAAGGGUGGGGUUGUCCUGGUGGGUGGGGGGGGUUCCCUUUUAUAGGGGCACUAAUCCUAGUGAGCCUUCACCUCCCUUAGGUCCUACGUCCUAAUGCCAUCACAUUGGGCAUCUGAACGUCAACAUGUGAAUUUUGGAGAGGCACAUUCAGUCCAUAGUAUUCUGCAAUUCUAACACUAAAAAGUGAACAUUUUCUGGAAGAAAAGAUUGUCAAAACAUAAUACAAGGGCACGGUAUUAAUCUCCAACUUUGCUGACUGGUUGAGUCCAGCCAUGACCCUCAGGUUUCAGUAAGGCUCCAGGACAUUCACAUUAAAAAUUCAUCAGUCAGUGGUUUUGUUAAUGCAGCUUCCAUCACUUUAUUACAUUUUUCGCAAAUUAAUGAGCUCUUUUCACAUUGUGUAUACUGACACAACUAAACUGAAUACACAAGGAACCUGUAAAGUCCUCUAGCCAGUAUUUUCUGUAAUAGGAUCUGUGGCAUGUUACUUUCUAGCAAAAAGAAGCUUUCUCAGAGGAAAAACAAAAUAGCCAGGGCAAAGACACCUGUGAUUUCUGUCAGUGUAUUCCAGGCCACAUGGGUGGAAAAGGGAAAAGGAGAUGACAGAAGAUCCACCAUCUUCCCAGUGCAAGGCUUUGAAAUGCAAAUUCAUUUCCGCUUGACCACAGACCAAGAAGAUGAGUGUUUGAUGACACCACAUUGAUUGACCAUCUGGGUUGUGUUUGGUCCAAGUCCUCACCUCAGUUUCUGUUUUCUGAGAUAUAAAAUAUGACCCAAACCUACCCAUGAAUUUUGCCUAACUGGUAGUGUUCUCAAGGCCUAGUGAGAACCAAAGAUGGCAAUUAGAGCCAGAGAGCGAGGAGUUAGAAUCCAGGACCCUUCGGGAGAAGCAGCAGGCAUUGGGGAAAACUUCUCUCCUUCUUCCUGGUAUUUUGAAUAGGGUUUGGAAAAUAAUUUGAGAAAACUAUGAGCCUCUUCACAUAAUUUCACGUUGACAUCUAAUUGUUUUCAUCAUAAAUUUGACAUUUCUAGACUAUUAAAAAUACUGAAUAUUAAAAUACUAAAAUAGUCUUAAACCAUCACAUCACUCAUUUGAAUAAACCCAAUGGAAUCUAAAUGCCAUAGCAAUCUAAUAAUUACAUCGUUCAUUUAAAAACACAGAUCAUCUUUACAGUUGGACAGUUCUCAUUUCUUGUUUCCCUUCAAACUUCUAUUUCUUUUCUACCUCUUCCUUAGUAGUUUGUCUUAAUGUAAUUUUUUAAAAAAGAUUUUACUUAUUUAUUUAUUUUAGAGAGAGC